AGUGAGGUCAGCUAAUUAAGCUCUUGGGCCCAUACCCCAAAUAUGUAGGUUAGACUCCUUCCUUCACUA
rnacentral:tRNA from 1 species